rnacentral:rRNA from 1 species
GAGUACGGCCGCAAGGCUAAAACUCAAAGGAAUUGACGGGGGCCCGCACAAGCGGCGGAGCAUGCGGAUUAAUUCGAUGCAACGCGAAGAACCUUACCAAGGCUUGACAUAUACCUGCAAAGGCUGGAAACAGUCUCCUCGCAAGACAGGUAUACAGGUGGUGCAUGGUUGUCGUCAGCUCGUGUCGUGAGAUGUUGGGUUAAGUCCCGCAACGAGCGCAACCCUCGUUCUAUGUUGCCAGCGCGUGAUGGCGGGAACUCAUAGGAGACUGCCGGGGUCAACUCGGAGGAAGGUGGGGAUGACGUCAAAUCAUCAUGCCCCUUAUGUCUUGGGCUUCACGCAUGCUACAAUGGCCGGUACAAAGGGCUGCAAUACCGUAAGGUGGAGCGAAUCCCAAAAAGCCGGUCUCAGUUCGGAUUGAGGUCUGCAACUCGACCUCAUGAAGUCGGAGUCGCUAGUAGUCGCAGAUCAGCAACGCUGCGGUGAAUACGUUCCCGGGCCUUGUACACACCGCCCGUCAAGUCAUGAAAGUCGGUAACACCCGAAGCCGGUGGCCCAACCCUUGUG